UUCAUGUAAAAGUUGCGCGUGCCGGACAUCCAUUAUCAUAUAGAAGAGAUGGUUAUAUUUUUUCUGUCAAGUUCUACCUUGAGCCUUCCUCCUAUAUAUAGGUAUGUUAACUGCGCUGAGUGUUACAUACUUGCCAGCAGGGAGUUGCUUGAAACAUCGGGGAAAUGGCCAAGAGAAACACUAUUGUGCUACUACUUGUCCUUGCAAUUGUGUUAUCGUACAAUGUCUUGGAGGGCGUUGCACACCAGAGCCAAGUUGCAUUCUCUCGCAAAGUGAUGAAUACGGAACAAAAAGCAUCCUUUAGCAGGGUGAUUCCAUCGCUUGGCGGACAGGUUCUUGGUGCAACAAAUGCAGGAGGUGUGAGCAAUAAUGCUGAAAUAGCAAAUGUUGAAACUACCACUACCGCAGAUUCCCAUCAUGAUGUCUCUGUGAAAGAUUUUCGUGGGAUUAACCACAAACCACCACGUUAUAACAGACCAUAAUGAUGAACUAAGAAAGAGGACCAUGGGCUGAAACUAGAUAUCCAUGGAUGAAUUAAGUAUCAACUUGGUGAUUUCUAUACUAAGAUGUAGUUCUUUGUUAUGUGUGUAAUGUAACCGUUUGUCAGACCUGGAUUGUGUGUUGGAGUGUCAAGCUAUUUACUGCUCUACUAAUAUUGUACAAGGUAGUAUUGUACUAAAAUGCAGAAUAAAUCAAGCUCAUGGUCCAUGGUAA